rnacentral:rRNA from 1 species
GAUGAACGCUGGCGGCGUGCCUAAUACAUGCAAGUCGAGCGAACGGACGAGGAGCUUGCUUCUCUGAUGUUAGCGGCGGACGGGUGAGUAACACGUGGAUAACCUACCUAUAAGACUGGGAUAACUUCGGGAAACCGGAGCUAAUACCGGAUAAUAUUUUGAACCGCAUGGUUCAAAAGUGAAAGACGGUCUUGCUGUCACUUAUAGAUGGAUCCGCGCUGCAUUAGCUAGUUGGUAAGGUAACGGCUUACCAAGGCAACGAUGCAUAGCCGACCUGAGAGGGUGAUCGGCCACACUGGAACUGAGACACGGUCCAGACUCCUACGGGAGGCAGCAGUAGGGAAUCUUCCGCAAUGGGCGAAAGCCUGACGGAGCAACGCCGCGUGAGUGAUGAAGGUCUUCGGAUCGUAAAACUCUGUUAUUAGGGAAGAACAAAUGUGUAAGUAACUAUGCACAUCUUGACGGUACCUAAUCAGAAAGCCACGGCUAACUACGUG